UUAUUGGAGAGUUUGAUCCUGGCUCAGGACGAACGCUGGCGGCGUGCCUAAUACAUGCAAGUCGAGCGGAGUUAAUAAGAAGCUUGCUUCUUUGAGACUUAGCGGCGGACGGGUGAGUAACACGUAGGCAACCUGCCCUUUAGCCUGGGAUAACUACCGGAAACGGUAGCUAAUACCGGAUACUUUCUUUUUCCGCAUGGGAGAAGAACGAAAGACGGAGCAAUCUGUCACUGAAGGAUGGGCCUGCGGCGCAUUAGCUAGUUGGUGGGGUAACGGCUCACCAAGGCGACGAUGCGUAG
rnacentral:rRNA from 1 species